GACGAACGCUGGCGGCGUGCUUAACACAUGCAAGUCGAACGGAAAGGCCCUGCUUUUGUGGGUUGCUCGAGUGGCGAACGGGUGAGUAACACGUGAGUAUCCUGCCCUUGACUUUGUGAUAACUUCAGGAAACUGGGGCUAAUACCGGAUAUGAGCUCUUGCUGCAUGUUGGGGGUUGGAAAGUUUCGGCGGUUGGGGAUGGACUCGCGGCUUAUCAGCUUGUUGGUGGGGUAGUGGCUUACCAAGGCUUUGACGGGUAGCCGGCCUGAGAGGGUGACCGGCCACAUUGGGACUGAGAUACGGCCCAGACGCCUACGGGAGGCAGCAGUGGGGAAUAUUGCACAAUGGGCGGAAGCCUGAGGCAGCAACGCCGCGUGCGGGAUGACGGCCUUCGGGUUGUAAACCGCUUUCGCCUGUGACGAAGCGUGAGUGACGGUAAUGGAUAAAGAAGCACCGGCUAACUACGUG
rnacentral:rRNA from 1 species